GGUCAGAAGCUGGCAUUUCAGAGAAGUGAAUUUUAGUUCUUCGCUGGAAUUCAGCAUCUUUCCUCCUCCAAAAAAUAGAAGUUGCUUAAUGCUGUGUUGGUAGGAGAGUCGGUCAGUACCUGAUACAGUAUGUUUGUAGUUUAAAUUCACUACUUUUUAUAUCCAAACAAAAAUUUCCUCAUGUUAAUAAUGGGUGUAAGACAGGACAUUGCUAGUUUUCCAGGUGAUGAGGAUUAAUCAUUAGCCAAUUGCAUUUUGCACACAAAUGGUUUGUUUUCUUGUCCAUGCUGCCCUUCUCGUACAAAAUCAAAGGGUUAAUUUGCUACUGGGAACUGCAGGCCUGAAUGCUGUUGAGCAGCAGAAUAGCCUAAGAUGUCAUCUCUGACUGUGAGCAAGGUUGACUCAGAGGCCCUUGUAUAAGUCUAACUCAGAUUAGAAUGAAAUAGAACAGUAGCAACAACACUGUUCCCCUCAAAACCAAACAAAAACCAAAUCAGCCUACUCCCACCUCUAGAAACAUGUAUGUGUUGUGGUCAUCAUUAGCAGAAACCACAUGAACAAGAAAUAUUUGUAACAGCAGUGCAAAGAUAGUAUGAAUUAGUUUUCCUUCUCUGAUUGUCUUAAAGAUUUCCUCCAACUUUUCAAAACUUCAGAGGGGCCACAGUGUUGAAAAAUGCACACUGAAGAUUCAGGGGAAGCUGUAAAGCUCGAAAGUCUUGAAUUCCUUGCAGCAGAUGCUUUUUCUGUGUUCUGCUCCCUUUUACUCCAAUUCCCCUACACAAAUUGAGCUUUGAAGCCAGAAGUGAUGCGUAAGGAGACGGUUAUGUCUUUUUUGGAGAAAAAAGUCCAAGGGUAGCAUGCAUGAAUUCCUUCCAGAGUUGGACAGGCUUGCUUCAACAAUUUGUGAUGUUUAAAAGCCAUUAAAUUACUUAGCCAUCUGCUGUUAAUAAUGGGAAACUUCUGAUAGAGCUAAGGUCUGAACAAUGGGAAUGAAUUGUUGAUUGUCCUUAAAGUGCAGUAGGCUUUGUUGUAAUCAUGAAACUGCAGUCUAUAAAUAUUUUAAGUAUCUUAAAAGUGUAUUUCUAACUCUCCCUUCUGUGGGCUUCAGAAUGCAGCACUCGUGUAAAUGAAAUGCAAUGUGAGAGGAUCUGAUUUAAUCCCUACUGGCUUCAACGUGCCUACUGAGUUUGGAGGUAAAUCAGCCAUAGGCCACCUAGGGUUUAUUGUAACAAAUGUGAGCACAGGGACCCAGGUUCACAUCCGGAGUUCAGAUGAGAACAUUUUAGGCUUGCCUGGAGUGGGAAUGUGGAAGAAGCAGGGAGAAACUAUAGCUGCUCUUGUCAUUUUAUGGAAGUCUUUUUAGUUUACUAGGCACAGUAAGUUUUGCUGACUGAUGUGGUUUCCAAAAGUGUUUCCCUGCUAGACUGCUUCUGAUUAAUAAAAUAUAUGAAAGCAAAGGAAAAAAGAUUCUUUCCUAGCCUUUUUUUCCUGGUACUUAUGACUAAUUUACAUUUUUAGCAUCCUUGAAUGCUACAGACCUUAGAUGCUUAGAUCCUUAAGAUGUUUACCAUCCUUAGAUGCUUAGAUCUGCAUGGUCUUUCUCUCAGCCAUGCUGGAAUUGUUCUGCUUGCAUUUUAAGUUGUUCAGAUGCUGACAUGCCCUGUACUGAAAACUCUGUAAUUGCAUUAGCACAAGGCUUUGUCCAACCUAGUAAUCCUUGGUGAGCAGCAGCGGAGUGCUACAGUAAUACAGUGCAAUCACUUCUUGAUUGGAGAUGGUGAGGAUCUGAGUGAUUCGAAGGACUAGCUGUUGCCAAGAGGCAGUAGAUGACAAUACUGGGAUUCUAAUGUGACAUAUAGAAAUAUUUCAAAAACAAAAGAAUGCCUUUUUAAUGCGUAGUUGGUACCAAGUCAAAUCUGGAAGACCUUUGACUGUGUUUUGUUUGCAAAAAGACAGAACAAAUACCCAGUGCCACUAAUAAACUAAACCUGAGAAGUCUCCCAUGUCAGUGGUUCUUUAAUAGAAGACUUCACCAUUUACUUCCCUUCUGUUUUCCAGGCUAGAAGCAACGCUAGAAAUCAUGUUAACAGGAGUGGCACGUAGCUGACCUGCAUGGUAUUCACCAAUAGGCAGGAGCACAUUCUCCCCCAAGUUAAUAAUUUCUUAUCCCUUGGAUGACUCUGUAAAUACAUGUGCAGUACAGCUGGAGCUACAGAAGUACUAAAACAGUUUACAGUGAUGUUGGACAGUUAAUACACGGACAAAUGCAGUGGAUAUCAGACACAAGAUCAUUCCCACGUCCAGCUGACAGCUUAGUGCCAGAAAUGCAGUGCUACUCAAUAGACUUUGGUGGACUUCUGCAGGCGCUGCUAAACCUGAUGGAGAUGGAGUGCACAGCAGACUGGUGUUGGCAUAGCUAAGUUCUAAGCAAGGAAACGGGCUUCUUGGAAACAGUGCUGAGGUAGUGAUGUCCGGUUUUCCCAGUUCUAACAGCUCCCAAGGUUUGCAGAUGCCUUCUGUAUUGGAUAUCGGGGUUGAACGUGCCUGUGCUACUAGGUUUUCUGUAAUGGCUUGUACUUGGAGAAUCUCUUUCAAAAUCGGUGAGCAGGGUGCUCUUGUGCUGGACUAUGAGGAGUAACUUUCUACGAGUUUUGGAACUGUGCUGAUAUGGCACUUGGCAAGCUUUACCUGGGAGCAUCUCGUGCAGAGAACAUGAAGAGCAUAUCAGAGGUUAGAGGAUAAAGAAAAGCAGAAAUAUUUGCUCUUCUCCAGAUGCCUGUGACUCACAUGCACUACACUUCAUGGAGGAUGAGACAGGAGAAUAGCCAAAGGAAGUCGAUGAGGAUGGCUGUACUGGCGAGGAACUAAGGAGCUGACAUUACUUCAUCUGAAGAGAAAAGAAGACAAAGCACUCCUUGUAUGGUUAAAAAAAAAAAGAGGCAGAAGCAUCAAAUGAAGGACUGUUUGAAUUGGAAAACUAAUGAGUAUUUCAGGUUAUUCAAAUCCACACUUAAUCUAACACUGGAAGCAGUUCCAGCAGCAGCAGCACCUUGAGGAGGACAUCGGGAGGAGGUCAGAGAGGUGAUACUUAGCAGGCCUUUCUACAGGACUCUGAGUGACACAGUUGUCCUGAGGUGGACUUCUGCCCUCCUGCAUGGCAAGAAACAGAUAUGCACGUCCUCUGUCAGCACUCUCCAUCUCCAGCAUUCAGACUCCUGCAACCUUCCCGCUGGUCCACAUCCUCACGCAGUCUUCCCAGUAAGGGGAAGAGAGCUGUAGGGAAUAGAAUAACCAUGGUUACUCCUACAUCGUCAGAAUUGGAAAGUAAUGUUAUCCAUGGGCUGAAGGAAGCUCAACCCUGCAGUCCAUUCUUCAAGCUCCUUCCCUACAAAUGCAGUGGGAGAGAUGUCAUUUGGGUGCCAAUGAGUUGUGUGCAUCAUAAAGGUGAUCACGUACCGAUUUCUUUUGGGAUCCACUCUAAAGAAAUGAAAGCUCAUUUUUUUCAGUUCAGAGCAUUUGCCAGUAGAUGGUGUGAGGAAUUUCUCCAAUCGCAGUGACACCAAAUGGUGCUGACAUCUGAAAAAAAAGCAGUGUUUUAUGACAGUAGCAAGAAUUACUUCUCCUUGUGAAUCUAUAUUCUGUCAUAGAGUUUACAAUUGCACUUGCUGAAAUGCUGUCAUUUUCAUUUAAACUAAAGGUCCUCUGCAGCAGGCAGCUCCACAAAGGGUCUCACCUCGUCAACAGCCAUUUCUUAGGAGUGUGAGAUUAGCAGAGCGGCAGCUGAAACAAAAGCUACCUGUUAAACACACUGAGGGUCAGCUACAGGAGGAUGAUGCUAGAUGCUUCAAAAACAAGGCCUCAAGGUACACAGAAUAGAUGCAGAUUAUUAUUAGGAGUGACUGCAGCCCCGGUUUUCCUAAACCUCAGCUCUAGUGUCUAAAUCUGUCUUCCCAUUCCCCUUGUAAGAUAGCCAGAGCUGCUGGACUUUCCAACUAUUCAGAAGACUUUCAAACAUUACCUCUUCAUGAACACCUGAAAAUGCAAUACCUACAGGUAGCAGGCUUGGUUUUUCAGGUUGUGCAGCAUUUGGGAACUCUCUCUUGUUUCUGGGAUUACUAGUAGUUCAGAACUAAAUCAAGCUUCUGAUUUAAGUUUCUGAUGGUUAGGGUGAACGUGAAUGACUUUACACAACUUUAAUGGAAGAUAAACAGCAAAAUGACCCAGUUUGACACAAGAAAUGAAUUGAAGUUUAAAAUGAAUCAGUUUCCAAAAGUUUUAUCAUGGAAUUUCUCUUUGUUACUGUUCCUGUAUUUGAGAGAAAUGUGGCACACAUAGAAGACUAGCAGCUAUUUUGGUCAGCAGUGCUUGAAAAAAAACCCAUCUACUUUCACAGUUUUAUUAGAAAUGGUAUCCUGAGAGACUGGAUUUGUAUUCUAUGUUUUUUUUUAGGCAAGGCUGCACUAUACCUGCAGUUUUGCUGGCAGAAUUUGCAUCAUUAAUUUAUGCAAACCAAAGGCAGUGAGGAAUCCAGAAACCAUUUUAAAAUGUGUGUAAGUCAGACAUUUAGAACUGAAACAUCCACAUUCUUUCUAUAGCCUAUUGCUGUGUGACUUCUUUUCAGUUCCUUCUUGAGUGUGCCAGUAAUCUUUUCUUCUCUUUGGUAAGCCAGAGUAACCCAGUAUAUGAAAAAGUGCUUUGAAACAUCUGCUCUGAAUUUGUUUUUUAAUUAAUUAACAAGUAAAUGCUUUUCUGGUUGUGGUGAAUUAUGGCAACUUGUGUUAACAUCAUUUACCGUGUUAAAAAAUGUAAAGACUUCGAUUAUAGCAUGAUCUUUCUCCUCAGAUAAUUUUGAGAUGAUGUAGUUUCAAUCUCUGUAGUUUCUCCUCAUUUUUAUAUGUUUUUAAUAUGAGAUUCCAGUUUAUUAACAGCUGCAUCACUUUACAGUGCUAACAGAUGCUAUUAUACAACCAGGCUAUGAGAACAGACUUCAGCACGCAGGUUUCAAUUUCCUUACCCUUAGUAACAGGGCUGCAGAAACCAAGGAGAUGUACUCCCCUCCUUCUUUCAGUAUCUAAUACUUUAAUACUUGGCACUUAAUCUUUAUUACAGACACCAGUAAAGCAGAUGAGCAAAGUUAUUGUAAAGUCUUUUCAUACAGGAUUUAUCUUCUCUCCUUCACGUCUGCAGUCUGUCAUACAUCAAUUUGUGGUCAUAAGGUACAAAAUAACAGUUUUUUACUGAAAGAAAAUAAAAUUCUUGGCUUGGUUCAGAGCAGGGUUCCAGGAUAGCUCGUUGGGUAGUAGGCUACAGGCAUUCUGCCUCUGACAGGGCUUUGCUUUGCCUUCUCGGCAUAUUCAGAGAGGUGCUAUGUGGCAGGGAAGUGUUCAGAAUGAGGGACUGGGCCUCUACCACCUGCGGUGACGUUGGGCCACUUGGGACAAAGGACUGAUCAGCAAGCACAGCAUCCAGUUCUCUUACCUGGCAGCCAAGCCCAGGGAGCACCAGCUCCAUUUGUGCUGCUGAAUGCAUUUAGCUAUUCAUUAAUUUUUCGAUUACUACAGAUGAGCACACGAGCUCUUCUUCCUCCUCAUUCCUUCACCCUCCUUGUCCCAGAAUGGCUUUUAGCUGCAAUGCCUGGAACUCAGACAAGCAGUGUCGCAUCUUUUCUUGCAGGAGAAGAGAACAAAGAUUUAUAGUGUGAGCUAUGAAAUGAUGAACGAGGGGGAAGUGAUUCCUCCUCCUGCUAUCUGGGGAAAUCUAAUCUUGCAUUUUAGACUUGGAGAGCAGUCAGUUUUUUCCAGAUCAAAUAAAAUAUUUUGUGUAGGAAUGACCUUUUUGUUUAAGCAAGGAAAAUGGAAGAAAUAUAUUUGUUUCAGACUGAACUGAUUUAGAUUUUGGUUCAUUUUUUGAUAUAACAUCGUGGUAUUGAGGAUAAAAUAUUGAGCAGUGCCGUGAAGAAGGUUAUGCUGUAGUUACCAUUCAUGGCCAAUAUACUUAAGCUGGUAACAAAUGCUAUGCAAAAUGAUAUAGUAGGAACACAUUACUAUGCUUGUAAAAUAAUUUAUGUUUCUCCUUUUUUGCUGACUACUGCCUUCUCUCACACAAAAUCACAGAAUCACAAAAUAUCCCAAGCUGGAAGGGACCCAGAAGAAUCACUGAGUCCAACUCUGGCUCCACACAGGACCACCCAAACCCAAUGUCUCAGAGCAGUGCCCAAACGCGCCCUGAGCUCCAGCAGCCUGUUCCAUGCCCACUGCCCUCUGGUGCAGAGCCGUUACCCCAAACCAACCUGACCCUCCACUGAGGCGGCUCCAUGCCAUUCUCUCAGGUCGUGUCACCGUUACCGGAGAGCAGAGCUCAGUGCUGCCCCUCGGCUCGCAGUGAGGAGCUGUGGGAUGACAUGAGAGAGCUUUUCUCUGGGCUGAACAAACCAAGGGACCUCAGCUGCUCCCCUCCACCCCUUGCCCUCCUCAGCAGCACGAGUUAUGAAAAGGAGGCAUGGAUUACAUCUUACAGGUAAGAUGAAAAGAAAAGUAUGUAUGAGUACAAUUCCAGAGUCUGUGACUAUUAGGAUAAGAAACCAAAUAAAAAAGAAUCUACAUCUCCAGACUCUAUUCCUGGAUUAACUGUAGAUGCAAUUUACAGGAGUUCUUCCAAUCAUCCCUCACUUUGUCUUGCUUCCACUCAAGUUCAUUGUCCUAAAAGAUCUGGCUUGUUAGGAAACAAAAACUAUGUUGUUUCAACUGCUAUGUGAUGAGUCACAAUGAGUGGUAGAGAUCUUUAGAAAUGAUCGGAAUCCUUAAUUCCAACUGAGCUCAUGGCUGCUAUGGAAAAGCAGACCCUGUAUGCGCUUAGAAGAGAAAGUAAAAUACUCUCUUAAAAGAGAAAGUACAGUCUUUUCCUACAUUGAGGAACUUGCUUUUUCUCAAGCGUUGGCGUACAUUUGAUGAUUCAGGUCAAUGCAACCUUUCCUACAUCUUUCCUACUUAAAAGAAGCCCUUUAGAACAGCAGGCUUUUUUUUUUUUUCUUCCUGAAAAAGUAACUAUCUUUGUUCCGCACAUGUUUCCACAGCCAACACUGCUGCACCAGACCUGAUAGAAAAUUGUUCAUAGUUCAGCGAGAAGCCGUUUAAAAGUCAGUCCUGGCUCCCCAGAUGCUAUAAACAUCCAUUUUGAUCAGUUAGAAAACCUGGUUGCUUUUAGUAAAAGCACAAGCAGGGAUGAUUUUGUUUUGAUUGUUUAACGCUGUUGAUGUUGCAAAUAGGUAUGUCAGCAUUUGAAAGAUGGUCCUAAGGCACUCGAUUUUUUAAUAGCAAGCAGAAUUCUCAUUAACAGGCAAUUUUAAAAAGCAAUAACAUUCAUUUUUUGGACUAUUAAGCAUAUAGAGUGUUUAUAUUUCCAGCAAAGAAUGAACUAAUGGAAAAUAAAAUUCUGUCAUGCACUAGUGCCACAACAUUGCAACAUAAUGUAUGUGAGGCUGAUUACAUUUCAGCCUUUCAGCGGGAUUAUACAUGAUCAAAGCUUCUGGAGUGAGAACUAUGUAACUUAAAUGAUUGAAAACAAUUUUAAUGUUUAAGUUAGUCUUCUCUCUUCUUUGAAAUAAAAGCUCGCCUCUUGUUAAUGAUGUGUUAAACUAAGAAACAACUGUCAGUGUAUGUACUUUCCUAAUGACGGGCAGAUACGUACAGUGUCAUAUCCGUUUGAUGUACAGUCUGUGCAGGUGCAUGGUACUGCUAGAGUUUACCCUAUCUGCCUAAAAAUACCUGCCCUUUCUGCUGCUUAAGUAGCAGAACAGUGCCAGUUCAAAGAAUGGCAAAAUGAGAUUCUUCCAUGUGUAUUGCCAUGCAGGCGUGACAAAACUACCCAAGCCCCUUUAGAAGGCUGCACUACCAGCAAAAGUGGGGAUCCACUCUUCUGCAGGGACUUGACCUUCCAUCCUCACCUUCCACUAACCUGUAAGCUCUCUGGAAGUGUGAUGAUUCGCUUCGGAAGGCCGAGGCUGUGACAUGGCUGCCCAUCAUGGCCAGCAUGUCUUGGACCGUCAGGCAUGCUUCCCAUGGGACUCCAUCAGUUGUUACCAUAAUGAUUUUAUGGAACUGAAGUUUCUUCUGAAUUUUUAUGUCCAUUGGCACUAUGCCAACGUUAAGCAAAAUUCUGGAUUUUCAGAUAAAGUAGCAAUGAGAGCUAAUGCUGAACCUUCUGUUUGUUAAUCUGCACCUAAAAAAAAAAGAUCCAGGAAAUCAAGAUAUGGAACGUGUGAAAAUAAAAUCUCAUUCUCAUGCUUUUCUUGGAAGUUGGAAUCAAAAUCUAGUAAAUUUCUGGUGCCUAACGCUGGUUAAUGCUCUGAACAAAACCAGGGCUGCUUCAUAAGGGUCAGAAAUGUUCUUUUCCCUACAAAGACCAUCAGUAUGACAGUGCUCAGAUAGUCUCUGUUCCACCACGCUGCAGCACAACCAGCUGAUGUGGCCUAAGGCAGACAUAGCAUCAAACUGCAGAAUAAAUCUGUUUGCAGCGUAAUUAACAGCCUGAUCGCAUACAGGAAGAAUGUAAGUACCUUUCUUGAAGAGACAAUACUGUUGUCAGGAAAAUUUGAAAAACAAAAUCAAUGGAGGCGAUAGACAUGAAAAAAUAGCGUCCCUUCUCUCCUCUUUUCCCUUCCGUGUUUUCCCCUCCAAUUCCAUCCACCAUUUUGAUGGAAAAAAAUUCCAAAGCAUUACGGUAUUAAUAUCAAUUAAUCUGGUUGUCAGAUCCUUUUCUUUUUUGAGAAAGUUAAUGGUACCUCCCAAAUUUAAAAAAAACAAAACAAUUUCAUGGUAUGCGUUGUUACCCAAAAAAGAUAUGAUUUGCACAACACUUUCCCCAUGUAUUUUCCUGGCUUCCAGAUCUUUUUCUUUGAAAAUCAUUAUGGAAAGUGUCGAACUGGCAACUUCUGACAUUGAUAUGUUGCAAAACGCCUCCACAGCAUAUUCGAGCUCUGCGUAACCUUCCAACGUAUUGAUAUGCAUCAGCUAGAAACAGUAAACUUUGUCGUAUUCUUGUGUUUUCCUAGUGAGACUGCCUUGAGGCAACUUACAGCACUGCUGUGAACAUAUGAAAUCCUUCUUCCACUGAAAAGUCAGCUUGCCACUGGAUUUAAUGGAGCCAAGACAUUAGAUUUAUUCAGUGGAGGUAGAUAUGGCUUAGAUAACCAAUGGUGUAAAAAUCAGUGAGUCAACAAAUGUUUGGUGUGUUUAUGAAAUUAGAUAGAGAAACGAAUGCCCCUAUUGAUAAAAUACAUAAGAAUUGUCCCUCGCUAUUGAACAGCAACAUAAAAUGUACGUAUGAGGAAGCUCCCAAAUCCAAAGUAACAUUAGUCACCUCUCCAGCCCUUGCAACAACAUACAUUUGUGGCUGCAUUUAAAAUUGUUCUCAUUUCUUUUUCUGAAGGCCUCCAAGAUCCUGAUUAUGCUGUUUGAUGAUUCUACAUAAAAUAAACAUUUCUAGCCCAAGACAGACAGCAGCAUUGAAAAGCCCUUAGUUUUUUUUUUCCAGGUAAUCUUCAGGUAAGCAUGUGGUUAAAACUUAUUUUGUGUCCCUUUAAAAAUUUCUUGUUAGUGAACUGAUGAAACUCUUGUUUGGUUCAUUCCUACUUAGAAGUAGUGCUAGUUUUAGGUCACUGAUUGUUUAGAAAUUGGUAAUGGGGAAGAAGAACGCAAUACUCUCUCCUUCCAUCUGCCAGUUGACCUAUUGGUGUUGUUUUUCUUGUUUUAAAUAUUCAGCUGGGUCCACAGAUCUGCCUGAAAACUAUAGCAAGACCAGGGCUCUUAUUUGGGGGACUAACAUCAGGCAAAUACGUUUUAGGAAAGAUUUGUGAUUGAACUGCUACAGAAAUUUGUUCCUACUCCUAUUAAUACCAAAUCACACUCUAGAACUGUUCACUGACCUUAACUGCAUUAACAGUGACUUCUGUUUUUAUGCAAAUUUGAAAGAACAAAACCCUAACAACUGAGGAUGCAUAAAUCCACCUUCCCCACACUCUAGCUCUGCUUCUAAUCUUAUUAUUACCAUAUAUAUUAAUAAUAUUAUAUAUCUAUAAAAAAUAUAUUAUAUUUAUGUUAUUAUUUACCAUAUGAAGAGGAUGGAAAGAAACCAGACUUAGGUUUCUUUUUAGGUUUAGAUUUUAUACAGGAACAUCAGCUCCUAGAAACCUUGUCAUAGAUGCCCAUGAACUCAAGAACUCAAGAGACAUCUCUGUUUUAGUUGUGCUGAUUUUCUUGUCCAAACUGAAAUAAAACACUGCUCCCGACCAUGUAAUAGAAACUAGCUAAAGUCUGCCCUGUGUGUUCCAUUUUCUCAUUUUGAUGCCUUGUGUUUGAAUGCCUUUCUGCUAAAGCAUCUGUCACUUUCCACUGGUCAUCAGCAUUUUUAGCUGUAAAAAAAAAAAAGGGAAAGAAACUUAUUAGAUGAUAGAUUCCGGACAUUCAUUGGGAAUGAUGUAUUCAGUGGUAGAACAUUUCCCUUCCAUAUUCUUGUCUCCCCGAGCUGCUCUUCAGCACACUGUGACCAUUACAUGGCACUGUAUUUCCCAGAGUUUACCAGGAAUUUGACAGACUGAGUGGUUGUGUGUUUUUAUGGUAACAAAAGGUAUUAGAAAUAUCACUACUGAAAAAGCUGCACUGGAAACCUGUGGAUGUUCCUUAUGGACGUUCCAGUUGACCUGUUUUAAUUCCCAACAUGGUUACAAUUAUUUUAGGAGAGAAAACAUCACACACAUCUAAUUAUUUGGAUCAUUUUCUGCUUUGGACAGAUUGCAACAAUCUUACACAAGCACUGGCACAAAGCAUUAGGGCAGUCUGGUUUUUGACCCACAUCUGAUCAUUUUGCAGUACACGCAACUGUGCUUCCAGUGGUAGAUUCCCCCAUGCAAAGUUCCUAAAUGUGGUAAAUAAAGCCAUCUGUUGUGGAAGCUGGGUUUGAAAAUUACAUGCCCCGUUAACCACUGUUCUGCAUAUGGAGCUAUUCAUGUCUUAUACAUAAGAAUGCCUUUCUGAAAGCAGUUUCGUUCACCUCAUUUUGCAUAUUUCUGGGCCAUCUCCCAGAUAUCUUCCUUCUUACAUUAACUUGUGUCAGACUGACGUCAUUUUUCUCAUGGUCGAUAAUUUUUGGAGGAAUGGUGUAGUAUUUUCCAUCCCAGUGUCUCGCUCUGUUAGUCUAGGCAAAGUCUUCUUGGUUCUUGGUGACCCUGGGAUUAUGAAUUCCACCAGUCAUAUGAUUUGCAAUUUCACAAAGUGAAACCAGUGGAAUGGUAAUGUGGGUAAGACUUCACUGUAAACAUACGUGCAUUUCAAUGAUGUCUGUAUUUUGCCAAUUUAAAAGACAUUGUCUUUUAAACCAGAACCAGAACCAGACCACCCGUUACAAACUAGUUUUCAGCAUCCCGUUAUGACUGCUCUCAUCAUCUGCUUUGAUGGCUUUAAAAUACCAGGAUCUGUAGAGGCAGAGGAGCCCUGCAGAUCAUCCGGGUAGUCUUUUAGUAAAGCAUCUGCUUCUGUGUUUACCCUUGGUUCCUGUGUUUGAAGAAUCCAACACCCUAAUUGAGGCUGGAAAGCCUGAUUGAUGAUUUUUUUAAUAGCUGUUAUUCUCAUAAGGCACAUCAUCCAGGAACAGCCGGAAGAUAAAGAGUUGAAUACUCCACAGUUUAUUGGAGCUUGUUUUGAUGGCCUUUUGUCCUUGUUAAAAAGUCUGUGCUUGCCAUCUAUGGUUACUUCAAACCUUCCUUUUCUGUCAUAUCUAUUAAUGAAUAUACAGUUUUAUGAAGAAAAUUAGAAAACUGGAAUACCUACAAGAAAUACUGAACAAAUGGACUGGAAGAAAUCUGAGGGAAGUCUUGGUUAUUUCUGAAUCUCAGAAGUGCCAGGAACUGAACAAGAACUUUUCAUUUGAGUCGUGAACCAAGUAAACAUUUCUAAAUUUUUUGGCCACUUGAAUUUAAAAGAUAUCAACUGGUAUCUUUAAUGUGGAAUAGUUUAAAGAGCAGCUGUGCUCACUGUCUCCUAACUAGAUGAUUAUUUGAGAAGGAAAAACAUAUUUUUUGUUAUGUUCUGAAAAAUAGUCCAAAGUAAUCAUUUCCGUGAGGGUAGAUGAAAAAAAAAAAAAUCAGUGCCUCUAUAGAAAAUGCAACCAAAUAUUCUGAUUACGUAGAUAUAAAAAAGCAGUUGAAAUGCUGACAUAGAAUAACGGCUAAAUCCUUUUCCAGAUCCAUUUUAAAAUUAUUUUUCUUAUUCUUUUUCUCUGUAAUGUUGCUUUUUUUUCCUAAAGGCUUAAUCCUGCUACUUUUAAAAUGGUACAUUACCCACAAGAUCAAAUGAGAUCCUGAGGGAAGUAUUCAAAGAGAAGGAAAAUGGGCAUGUUUAUAAUUCUUCCCGUUUGGCAAUUAGCUCAAAUGCCUAAAUUAAAAGAAUAGCUUCCCUCGGUUUACCAGAUGAUUAAUAGAGAACAUUCCAGUAGGCAAUUUGAAAUGCUAACCUAAGUUCUUGCUAUUAGUGUUCUUUUGGAACUCCUGCAUAUUUUUCCCUUGGACUGAGAAACGAGCUUACUUAAAUUAUUUAAAUUUAAGUGAUGUUAACAGCCCUGAAAAGUGCUGGUGGUCUUCUGUACCAAUAAAUUCCAACUGAUAACAAACAAAAGACCAUUAUGCCAUAAGGACAGCCGAUCUCGAACUGCUCAGAAUUUCCUUUGCAGGGCCUUGGCAAAUAAACUAGUUCUAAGUGGGUAUAACCAAAUGCAAUCAUUUCUAGGAAUGUAGCAUGGUAAAAAAAUAAACACUAAAAGUCUAUAUAAUGAAUAUUUUCUAAUUAAUUACCGCAGUCUUCAUUCUGUGUUGUUCUUGUUUGUUUUUAAUAUAAUUUUUGUACCAGUUUUUAUUAAUGAGUAAUCUACCCCGUGUAUGAGAGACUGCAGGAGUCUCAUUUUCACAGAGCUGAGAUGGUCUACGUUUAGUUAGAUUGCCUGUACACUUGCAUCAGGAUACCACUUACUUAGGCUUUCAUUUCUGUACACAUUUAAGAUAUUUCUUUUCAUUUUUCCAGUGUUCUCCUUUUCCCCUGUAGCAGGCUGCAGCAUUCAUCUCAACUUCUGCUUCGUGGUAAACGUGCUGCAAAAACGGCACAGUGACACAGAAAACAAAAUGAAUAAAUCAUUUAUUAAGAUUUACAAGGAUGAGCUCAUAGAAAUCCAGCUUCAAUCCCUGUUAAACCAGUUUUCUAAAUGCCACGGACAGAGUCAUAAAGCAAAUUUUCUAGCAGCAAAUUACUAAAAUAACCAUUUAGUUUCCACUAUAGGACAGUAAUCAACAUUUUGUUGCUUCUUGAUAUAUUUUCUACCACACUGCAGCCACGAUCAAAGAUCUAAAACUCCUAGGUGAAAUUGCAAGCAAACACUAAUUAGCUUCCAGGUGAGCGCUGAUCAGUUUGUAGGAUUGCUUGCAGCUGGGCACACUCUGGAUCUUGGAAACAGCGUAGAACAGCAAACAGGCUGAGAUGUUUGAGAGAAAGGUCAUCUGUCUGAGCUUUUUCACUUCUGCCUUAGUUUUCUGUUUUCUUGGCAAGGUGCUGAAAACUUCCAAAACGUUUUGAAAGUUCAUCAUUUCCCAUUUGCUGUUUCUGCUUUGGAUAGAUAUGUGAAAAUCCUGGAAAACUCAGCGAAAGUAUUAAAAAAAGAACAACCACGUGACAUGAAACAUUCAAGCAGACAGAGCCAACUCUUGUCUACAGAUCUGCUGGAUGUUCACAGAUGUUUAUUUCAGAUUAUUGGGACUCUGUUAUUUCCAGCAUAGCUGUGCUUUUGUCCUUGGAAUUUCCUAACAUCUUAAAAACUGCUCUGUUUCUCACUUCAGCCACCACUUUAAGGCUUCUUGUCUCUCACCCCUCAGGCAAGACCUAGUUUUGCAUAGUUUACACACUCUUACAAUUCAGAAGCUUUCUAGAUGAUAUCCCAUCAGGCUGUCUAGCUCUUUUAUUGUAAACAUAGCUUGUUACUAUUGAAUGCAAAGAUCAACAGAAGCUGAUAGCAAUGAAUGAUUAUCACUAAUUCACUUUGGAAAAUAUGUUCCACAAGAAGAGUUGUCAUGAUAAAAAAAACCCCGAAACUGCUAUGGAUGUUAAGAGUAAGAAUACAGACAAAUGAAUAAGAAUUAGAGAAAUAAAUAAAAAAAAAUGAUAAAAGGAGAAAGCAGAUUGUUUCUUUGUAUAAUCACGAUCCUUUUGAUUGAUUGACAUGAAGGCCAUGGCUCACUUGACCUGAUUUUAUGUGUAAAGCUUACUAAAAUGAAAAUAAAAUAAAAUAAA
ensembl:lncRNA